CACCUCCUCCAUCGCCGGGGACAAACUUCUGAUGUCCAUGAACUUCCUUAACAACCUCAUGCUCAAAAUCCUCUUCUUCCAAAUCAGGAAUACCCUCUUCUUCCCUCACCUCUCUCGAGUCUCGGCUUGGCGUAUAAGGUGUAGGAUAAUUAUUAUUCUCAAAAGUCUCGAAAGGGUUCAGAAAAUCCCAAGGUGAACUCCUCGGUGGAGAUGGCGGGGGUGGUGGCGGUUUCGAAGUCGAAGGCCCAGCUCUAGACGGCCCCAGCGGCGGAGAUGAAACCGAGUCUCGGCUUGGCGUAUAAGGUGUAGGGUAAUUAUUAUUCUCAAAAGUCUCGAAAGGGUUGAGAAAAUCCCAAGGUGAACUCCUCGGUGGAGAUGGCGGCGGCGGUGGUGGUUUCGAAGUCGAAGGCCCAGCUCUAGACGGCCCCAGCGGCGGAGAUGAAACACCGUACGUCCUUUGCAUAGACGAGGGAAAAAAACUGUCACCGUAAUUGGG
rnacentral:lncRNA from 1 species